AUGCCCGAGGGUGAUGAUGAGUUAGGUGGCCACUUUUGGUGAAGUGGUGCACCAGGUGUUUGCGUGAGUAAGGUUUCUGAAAUGGUAUUAGAUUUAUGAUGUGUCGACCGUCCCAACCUUACCAGUACGACCACGUUACCCCUCAUGGGACGGGGCUAUGAUGAUUACUCUGGUCGGUGCUAGCAAAGAGCCACAUUACUAGUGGCGGUAGUGAUGUGUGGUCACUCUCGUGAUGGGGUCGUGCCAGGUAGGACGACUAUGCCAUUUUUAUGAGUUCCAGGCACACCGUUGGUCGCUGCAUGGUUGUUACUGUCCAGAGUCGGUGCUUGUAACACGUACAACAUGUGGGUUGGGUACCAAUCGAGUGGACCUCUUUAUCUAAUAUCGCCAGGGGAAAGGCAUUGAUCGGGUACUUACCUCGGGUAUGUUAUAUACCGCGAGUCAUGGAUGACACGGAAGGUUCCCAGAUCUCGUGUGUCCAGCGUACUACCUCUACACAGUGUAAAACUAUUCGAAUAGUCGUGUCCGCGGUCAAGGACAGUUGGGUAAUCCUGCUUAAACUACGUCCACUCGUUUCCGCAUGGACCAAGUGUGUGCGAGUUGUGAUGAAAGGAUUUGUUAUGGAAGCAAUGAUAUGACCAAGUUCGGUGACUUGGCAUAUAGGGUGAACCCAGAUGGUUCAGUUCUCAACAGAUAUAUGGAUAUCUGUAACCUGUUCUUCAAAACUAAUUCUUUAUCUUGAUGCAUAUUCAUGAUCAUUCCACCACAAUGAAUUCCACCAAAGAUGCAUGUUAUUGUUAUCCUUCACUUUCAUUGUUCAUAUCAUGGGCUGUUUGUGAGUACAAUCAAAAGUACUCGUUGGCUUGCCACUGGUUAUUUCAUUGACAAGGUAUGAGAGAACAGGAUUUGGUGAAGAGUAACUCGGUGACGUUCUUGCAAGCUAGGACGCAUCCCAGUCAAAAUUCCUGUAGGUUAAGGCCGGUGGCAUGGGUUCACGCUUUCAACCAAUAAUUCUGCUAUUGUUUCAGUUUGGUGUGUUGGCCUUCAAGGCCCUAUACAUGUAAGACUUGACCGCAAUGGUCAUUUAUUGUAUCAAACGGUAUGUAUGGAUGUAAGACUCUUGUUAUUCAGUUUCCGUGUGUUCGGUGAGCAUUGAUCUCUGGGAUCACUGAGCACGUUCAUUCGGCGAUCUCGUCUCAUAAGUCGGGGUCCCCAAAUUACCCAGGUUCGGCCCCUCCGAUGGAGGUAAAAGCCUAUGUCCUGCUUGUGUGUAUUGAUAAUAAGGAGGAUGAUCUCGAUUACAAGGGUGUUGUAUUUCUACCUCUAGUCUCAAGAGCCUCUAUUCUGUCUAUCUCUAAUGACUUUUAACUUCUCCCUCUUGGGGUUCCUUAGCCCUCCUUAUAUAAGUGGAAGGGGUAGGUUUACAGGUAGAGUCCUACUAGGAGUAGGGCUAGGACUAGUCUCUCUUGAAUCCUAAUCCGGGUCUUGUUUCCUUUGUGAAGGAGUCCUUCCUUUCCUUGCGCCUUCUCGUUGAACUAGCCCUCCCAUGAGCCGCCUUCUAUGUCGUUGGCUCUUGUCG
rnacentral:lncRNA from 1 species